ACUGCAAAGGGAAAAAAAGGCACAAGGAUGUAAGUAACCUGUUUAAUUUUCUUAUAUUUCUAUAGCAAGCGGCAUCCAGCUAAUGUGCCAAGAGACUCCUUUCAUACCUUUCCACUCAACAAAGAAAACCUGACUUCCCAGAACAUGUGUGCACGUAACAAAAGCAACUGUUACACACAAGCGGCACAGUAUUUCUUAACUCAAAUAUGAGUUCCUUAUGAGAAAAUGAAAAGACAACGAUGGCUGUUGAAGAUCGCUUUCAGAAGGAAGAACAAGACUAUUCUAAAGACUAGAAUUGCAUGCAAAGCAGAAGGUUCUUCAAUUAUAAUGGGGAAGGUGUAAUUUCUAACUGUAAUCCAUGGCAAUUAUAGAGUACAAGUCAA